UCCCUUGUAGCUCAGUUGGUAAAGAAUCUGCCUUCAGUGCAGGAGACCCGGGUUCGAUCCCUGGGUUGGGAA
rnacentral:tRNA from 1 species